rnacentral:rRNA from 1 species
UACGUAGGUGGCAAGCGUUGUCCGGAAUUAUUGGGCGUAAAGCGCGCGCAGGCGGCCUCUUAAGUCUGAUGUGAAAGCCCCCGGCUCAACCGGGGAGGGCCAUUGGAAACUGGGAGGCUUGAGUAUAGGAGAGAAGAGUGGAAUUCCACGUGUAGCGGUGAAAUGCGUAGAGAUGUGGAGGAACACCAGUGGCGAAGGCGACUCUUUGGCCUAUAACUGACGCUGAGGCGCGAAAGCGUGGGGAGCAAACAGGA